ensembl:lncRNA
UUGGUAGCUAUUAAGCUGGGUUGAGAUUAAGAUGCUCACUGCAUCUCCAAACGUGAUGAAAAUCAAACCCCACUCCUUUACGAUGCCUCCCGGGGGGGGAUUUUCACACUCAGGAGUUUGUACACUAAAACUGAUAUCCUGACCUAAGUGCUGUUCUAGCUCGCCUUACUAUAAAUCAGAAGCAGCUCUCUGGUGCACAUGAACUCACAGUCAGAGCAUUUAUUUGUUAGGAGGGUGGAUUAACAAAGGCGUGGGCAGAACCCAGGAAAGAGAAAGGGGCCAUAAAGCAGAAAAGUGAUGGAGCCAGGCGCACACGGGAUACCGUGUCCCCAAAUAGUUUGGCGUCAAAUAACAAAAAUAGCUAUAACUUCAUUCCCUUAAUGUGCCCAUUAGUCUAAGUAAGACCUUUCUUUGGUUCGUGCCUGAACCUGGCUGUUUCUCUGCAACCUGCAAUUUAAUCUUCUGCGAAUGUAAUACCCUAAACGUAAUCAUCUGUGAAAUUAAAACAUAAUCAGCUCUCCGUUAUUAGGGGAAGUGGGGAGCUGCAAAAUUGAAAGAAGGAAAACCUGGCUGAUGGAAGUGGUUCUGGGCCCAAGAUGGCCCUGGAAGAAUCCCAGUCCUUUCCAGAAGCGAUGUGCUCUGUGCUCUGGCAGGAGAGUCCCCUCAGUCAGGCUGGGAGGUGCAGAACCGGUGUAGGCACCGCUACAUGCAUAGCAUGGCUUAUUCACAACGUGGGUAACAAACCCAGGAAUAAUGGAGAAUAAAUUCUGCUUUGUUUCUUCGUUUGCUUUGCUGUAACUGAAACAAAAUAGGUGUUUAAAUUAAUGUUAAUAAAACAUUUUGAAGCGAGAGUGUUACGAAGGUGCUGCAAGCAGCAAUAAAAUCACCACGAAAUUACAAACAUGAUUUCAUGAAGAAUAAGACAUCAGCUCUGAAAUAGGAUUGAAGCAGCAGAAGUAUCCAGUUGCAGGAAUAAAAGACUUCAUCUAGCAAGAAUGGCAACACCGCACUCCUUAACGCACGGUAGAGGCAGGCAGGAAAGCACUCUCUCACUUCACUUCCAAAACUAAUGAAGAAAAGUGCCCACAAGCUCCAGGGGAGGGAAAAAAGGAUGAAAAACAGGCAGAUUCAGAUAAUUAAAAUGUUAGUUUUUCUUAAAUGACGUCAAACCCUAUUCCCAGAGCUGGCUGUUCAUGUCUGCCUGUUCUCUCCAGUCACGGGUUGGAUAGAGGAGCUGGAGGCUGAAGCAGAACUUCCCAGUGCUGAGUACACGCAGUCUGCCUUUCAGAGAACUGUCCUUGAUCCAGCUCAGGAAAGGGUGCCAGUACGCUCAGCAUCUGAAACACCUCGGUCGUCUAGCUUCCAUCUGUCUCGGUGAUGUCUAAAUGUGUCUGCACUGAACAUUUCCAGACCUGUGUUCAAUUCAUCUGAUUCCAAGUGUCUUCCUUCGGCCACUUUUGGUGCGGAUCAGCCAGCGUCCCAUUUAUGUUUUGAAAAACUACCCUGACCCCUUAACUUCAGUCCGAAAGAAAGUACUCUUUGAACGCUAGCUCCACACGCAAAGGAAGUUCUUAAUAUUACUGUAAAUGGAACCCAUCUCCACACGUGGCAUCUCAGACCUGUGGGUGCAUGGCAUACUGGAGAUUUACCCCAGAAAACGCAGGCAGAGCCAUUGCGACUCAGCAGUGAAGGUCACAGACCUGCUCUCCAGACCUUGACCUCAGCUGACUGAGCAAAUUGCCAACAGACCAGAGAAGUGGAGAGCGGGGGGAAGGGGUCAGCAGACGUUGGAGACAGAUGGCCCAAUUCAUCAUCCACCAGAAAUAAAUUAAAAAAUAAAAAUAAAAAGCUGCUCCAAGCGUUAUACACGCAGUGGUGAUUGUAAAUUCCACAACUGUGGAGGGCUGCCAAGCCAUUAUACACAUACCAAUACUGCAGUCUCUGUGCAUAACUCCAGAAAGGUGAAGUCAGGAGAAGCUGCAAAGCAUAAAGCGUGUUUAGCUCUCAGGAAAUCGGUUUGUAAAAUGAUUAUCCAAGCCCUGGUGGAACGAAAAGCAUGUAGAAGUUAGGGACUAAUAGGAUACUAUGGCUUGUACAUAGACAAUGCAUUUGCACAAUGCAUAAUUUAGUUAUCCAUGGAUGUGACUGUUGAUAUUAUAGUUAUUUAUCUUCUUCUAACACUAUUUUUGUUUGAGUUUUACUCUUGACAGUUUCCCAGUUUGAGCUGUCAGGCUGUGUGUCCUGCUAAAUAUGGUACUUUGGUCAGAAGGCAGAGUGCCUCAGGAGCCAGCAAUGCUCUAUGACACCACUGGAAGGAAGGAAGGGUGUGCAGAGCAGGAGGGGUUUCCCCAGAUCGCCUUCCUUGGUUUCACUGCAAUGAAGUGAAAGAAGGAUCUACCUUGGGUUUUUGUAAAUACACUGACAGCAAAGAGAGAGUUGCAUUGGUGUUGGUGCUGUUGGUAGCACUACUGAAUGCUCCGGGUGGUUUUCCAAGCACAAUUUCCCCACGGGUGGAGAUAACAGCAGCCAUCAGAUUGCUCAAUGUCACAAAGCAAGCGCUGGGAAAUCUCCGUCACAGCCUUUGUGCAGCUUUCAGCUCUCUUUCCACGCAGGCCAAUAUCUAUGCACAACACAACAAAGAGUUAUUAAU